UGUGGGGUUCCGCUCUGACAGCCCCCGGGGCCCCAAAGCAGCCUUAGGGCACUGCAGCCUGGAAGCUAAGCAGGAUUGGGCCUGGCUGGGGCUUGGGUGGGAGACUGCCUAGGAAGACCAGGGAGACUCCAAAG
rnacentral:rRNA from 1 species